GAUGAACGCUGGCGGCGUGCCUAAUACAUGCAAGUCGAGCGAACAGACGAGGAGCUUGCUCCUCUGACGUUAGCGGCGGACGGGUGAGUAACACGUGGAUAACCUACCUAUAAGACUGGGAUAACUUCGGGAAACCGGAGCUAAUACCGGAUAAUAUAUUGAACCGCAUGGUUCAAUAGUGAAAGACGGUUUUGCUGUCACUUAUAGAUGGAUCCGCGCCGCAUUAGCUAGUUGGUAAGGUAACGGCUUACCAAGGCAACGAUGCGUAGCCGACCUGAGAGGGUGAUAGGCGACACUGGAACUGAGCCACGGUCCAGAGUCCUACGGGAGGCAGCAGUAGGGAAUCUUCCGCAAUGGGCGAAAGCCUGACGGAGCAACGCCGCGUGAGUGAUGAAGGUCUUCGGAUCGUAAAACUCUGUUAUUAGGGAAGAACAAAUGUGUAAGUAACUAUGCACGUCUUGACGGUACCUAAUCAGAAAGCCACGGCUAACUACGUG
rnacentral:rRNA from 1 species